CCCCAUGACGGCAGAGUCGAGGUGAACAUACAGCGGAAUGGCCAACGGGAAUUCGGAACACCGACGGAGAAAACAAACACGCGGAUACAAACUAUAUUUACGUUUUAUUGACCGGUAUUGAAAAGUACAAACGUUCUGUAUCGCUCACUGUUUGGUAACUAACUGAUAAACGUCAACAAAGGAUCAAAGGAUAUUGAGCAUGAAAGGACCCUAUUAUCGCACCCAGGCCACACACCACACGAAAUCAAUUUGAAAAUUACAAAUACUGCUUCCGGAUGGAUCCUGUGCUGUUCAUGUAAAGCAGGAACAGGUCGUUGCAAACAUAUCGUGGCCUGUUUGCUUCAUCUCAAUCGAUCUGACCAAGUGGAAUACUUGUCCUGUACGGAUACCAAGCAAGCGUGGGGAAGUCCGAGAAAGGUACCCCAUGGGGGCCAAAAGAGUGAGCGAACUUUGCUGCACCAAAAUGCCUACCCGACUUGUACCGUCGGACUCAAAAUUAAGGGAUGCGAUAGUGAAAGAGUCAUUCACAAGGAUAAUGGAAGGUAUAUGCGAUAUUGUGUAGAAUGCGUGGAUGCGUGGAAAAUUUCUUCCAAGAAAUGGUCCAGAAAAUCACAUUUUUCUGAUCGCAGUACGCUGUUGAGAAGAAAUGUCACUUCAAACGUGGCUCUCUGUUCAUUCAGUCAAGUAAUUUCUUUAUUUAUCUUUACCGAAACAGCAUACUUAGCUUAACACCCUAAAAGCCAUUAGUUGACAGCGGUACACCCACCCUCCUAUAGAUGAAGAGAAAUCGAUCAUGCGAUUUACGCCCUUAUUCCAGCGCACGCUAUAAUAUAGUCCUAAAAGCAUGAUGGUCCUAAAAUUUGAGUAUUUCUCGAUUACUUUUUCAAAUCAACGUAAGUAACUUUCAUACGGUUUUGAGGAAGUUAAUUAAGAAGAAUCACAACCUUCCCAAGAACCAUGGAGCAUUAUAUCAUUGCUUAAAUACAGCAGCCGCAUUGCCGUAAGCCUAUUAUUAAAGUAGUUUAAAAGUGGAAAAAGGCCCUGAUAUAGUCGAACUAAUGCCAGAAUGUUUAUAAAGCAACCAAGCAAUUCAUAAAGUAGUAUUAGUGCAUUGAUACAUUUGUAAUGUAGCAUUAAUGCUCUUUUGCUUGACAGUUUGUCGAAUAAAAGCAAUGUCGCAUCAGUAUUGUUGAUAUGCAGUAGAAUAAGUGUAAUGUUAUAA